AGAGUUUGAUCCUGGCUCAGGACGAACGCUGGCGGCGUGCCUAACACAUGCAAGUCGAACGGGGGAUGCGUAGCUUGCUAUGCAAACCUAGUGGCGGACUGGUGAGUAACGCGUGAGCAAUCUGCCGCAGAGAGUGGGAUAACACAUGGAAACGUGUGCUAAUACCACAUAAUGUAUAACCGUGGCAUCGCGGAUAUACCAAAGGAGCAAUCCGCUCUGUGAUGAGCUCGCGUCUGAUUAGGUAGUUGGUGAGGUAACGGCUCACCAAGCCUACGAUCAGUAGCCGAACUGAGAGGUUGAUCGGCCACAUUGGGACUGAGAUACGGCCCAGACUCCUACGGGAGGCAGCAGUGGGGGAUAUUGCACAAUGGAGGGAACUCUGAUGCAGCAACGCCGCGUGAAGGACGAAGGCCUUCGGGUUGUAAACUUCUGUCCUUGGUGACGAAGAAAGUGACGGUAGCCAGGGAGGAAGCCACGGCUAACUACGUGCCAGCAGCCGCGGUAAUACGUAGGUGGCGAGCGUUGUCCGGAAUUACUGGGUGUAAAGGGUGCGUAGGCGGCUUCUAAAGUCAGAUGUGAAAUACCGCAGCUCAACUGCGGGGCUGCAUUUGAAACUUGGGAGCUUGAGUGAAGUAGAGGUAAGCGGAAUUCCUAGUGUAGCGGUGGAAUGCGUAGAUAUUAGGAGGAACACCAGUGGCGAAGGCGGCUUACUGGGCUUUAACUGACGCUGAGGCACGAAAGCGUGGGGAGCAAACAGGAUUAGAUACCCUGGUAGUCCACGCUGUAAACGAUGGAUACUAGGUGUGGGGGGUACUGACCCCCUCCGUGCCGGAGUUAACGCAAUAAGUAUCCCACCUGGGGAGUACGAUCGCAAGGUUGAAACUCAAAGGAAUUGACGGGGGCCCGCACAA
rnacentral:rRNA from 1 species